AGUGAACGCUGGCGGUAGGCCUAACACAUGCAAGUCGAACGGCAACACACUACGAGCUUGCUCUUCCGGGUGGCGAGUCGCGUACGGGAGACGUGAAUAUCGUACUCUACUUUUUCGUGUGGGUUCACGUAAGGAGACCUACUCUCAUACCGCAUACCCUCUUCGGGUGAAGGCAGGGGAUCUUCUGACCUUUCGCGGUUGAACGCGCCGCUGUUGAAUUAGCUGGUUGGGGGGGUAAAGACCCACCAAGUCGACGAUCCGUAGCUGGUCUGAGAGGAUGGUCAGCGACACUGGAACUGGGACACGGUCCAGACUCCUACGGGAGGCAGCAGUGGGGAAUAUUGGACAAUGGGCGCAAGCCUGAUCCAGCCAUACCGCGUGGGUGAAGAAGGCCUUCGGGUUGUAAAGCCCGUUUGUUGGGAAAGAAAAGCAGCAGGUUAAUACCCCGCUGUUCUGACGGUACCCAAAGAAUAAGCACCGGCUAACUUCGUG
rnacentral:rRNA from 1 species